GCCGUGGUGGUGGAAUUGGUAGACACGCUACCUUGAGGUGGUAGUGCCCAUCAUGGGCUUGCGGGUUCAAGUCCCGUCCUCGGUACCA
rnacentral:tRNA from 1 species